UUUUUUUUUUUUUUUUUUUUUUUUACAGACAAACUUGAUCAGGUUGAUGUUUGCAGCUUAUCUUUUCUCGGUUUCUUACAGUCGGACUUUUACGAAUAGAAGAAAGGGAACGGAAAGACAAAGUUAACGUUUGCGGAACAUCUUUAAUUAGUCAUUUUCUUACCGUCACAAACUUAACGCUUACAGAACAUCUUUAUUUAGUUUCUUAGCGAUACAAACUUAACGUUUACAGAACACCUUUAGUCACUUUCUUACCGUCACAAACUUAACGCUUACAGAACAUCUUUAUUUAGUUUCUUAGCGAUACAAACUUAACGUUUACAGAACACCUUUAGUCACUUUCUUACCGACACAAACUUAACGCUUACAGAACACCUUUAGUCACUUUCUUACCGUCACAAACUUAACGCUUACAGAACAUCUUUAUUUAGUUUCUUAGCGAUACAAACUUAACGUUUACAGAACAUCUUUACUUAGUUUCUUACCGCCACAAACUUAACGUUUACAAGUAUUUUUAGAAUAUGCAUUGAAUGUGUGACGUCACCGAUAUGUUCGUUGUGCAGGGAAUUUACAUGCAUUUGAUAUAAUAUGAAAAUUCUGCUUUCUUUCUUCUCUACAGAUUUUGAUGUCAUUCCGCUCCUUGUCAUCUUGUAAGGAAUAAUAACAUCUGUUUGUUUCUUUCGGUUAUUUUUUUUUAAUUUUAGCACGACCCAACUCGGUUUUGUUGUUGUAUUAACCGUUCUGCAGGAGACACGAAUUUUCCAUUUCGGAGGUAAUUCCCUUAAAUAAUUGUUCAUGGGUUGGUUAGUUGUAUAUAUUGUUUAAUGUCCAUCUCGGAAUUUUUUCACUCAUACAUGUAUGGAGACGUCACCAUUACCGGUGAAGGGCUGCAAAAGGCCUGUAGGUCGGCGCUUACGGCCUUUGAGCACGGAGAGAUCUUUAUUGUGUCACACCUGCUGUGACCCGGGACCUCAGUUUUUUGCGGUCUCAUCCGAUCGUUUGCCCAAAGGAUGAUUAGCAUUAUUUAUCAGUUCAGCUAUGCAACCAGCCGAACUGCAGGGAAACUCAAAUUAGGAAAUAGAUGAGUAUUUGAAAAUAGAAUACCUCAAACAAAUAUCGAAAUUCGCCAUUUCUCUUUUUCAAAAGUAUUGAUCGUGUCGAAGAGGAAACAAAUAAUGAUUACACAUUUAAUUGACCAAAUUCAAACAAUUUCUUCUUGCGGUAUGAAUUUUUAAGUUUUAUAUGAUUGGUCAAAAUCAAGAAGAAAGGUAUUUGGAAUUGAAAGAAAUACUCUAUUUGUUAAAAAUUUAAUCAAUAAUUGAAAUUGGAAUUGAAAGAAAUGUGUUUGAAUUAAUUGUCGGGAUAAGGAAGUACCGCACAAAAACGAUAAAUACCCGAGGAAAUUAUUGUGGUCUGAGUUAUGUUUGAAAUGAUAGGUGUAAUUCACUGCGGAUUGCUGUAUGUUAUAAUGAAGUACAAGUAUGACCUAAAAAAAAAAAACAAUGGGGCCCUACAUAUUUUGAUUCCAAAGAUUGGUGGGCAUUUUGUCUAAAAUCAAUAUGUAUGUAGUAAAGUAAUAUUCAAUGGGAAAUGGAUUGGUACUCUUUUUCUCCUGCAUCUUGAAUUUGGAUUGUUUCCCUUCCGCCGUCUUUCUGUCCGACAGUGUAGUGUUUUGUUGUUUCCCUGUCCGACAGUGUAGUGUUUUGUUGUUUUUAAAAAAAAAGAUUUGAUACGCGGCUUUAUCAUCAAUGUAUCCAAGUUUGAAGAAAAAGGAACACGUGCGCAUAAUGAAGUCAAAUAACUUUCUAUGAUUAUUAUUUUGUCGUGACCUGUAAUUAAAUAAAUGUUGCAGAAACUAUCAUGAAUAUAUAAAUAUAUCAUAUUUCCUUGUUGUAUGUACGACCUUUUUGUGCAACACGGGGUUUUUUCCCUAUAUUUAGUGGGUGUAUUUUAAGCAUUUGGUUUUAUUGGCUGGGCUACUUUGUGUCAUGUGACUAGUCAGUCUGUUCUAAACUUUGAAUUAUUUAUAGAAAUCAUCUGUGAAAAAAAUAAUUUCAAAAAUGGGAAAAAAAACAAAACAAAAAAACCCCGGAAUUUUUUAAAAUGAUCUUUGGUCGAUAAUGAACAAUGCCACAGGUAAAUUCUGCGUGCUUGACUGACCAUUAGAAAUAAAAAUACAGUUUGAACAAACGCUAUAGGAUGAACCAUGCUAAUAUGAAUCAUCUAUCAUUUACAAGAAAACCUAUUUCUAGUCCUCAUUAUUUUGAUUUCUUCCAGAAUAGAUUUUACUGUUAUGGUAUAGACUUAUACAUAAAAGCGGGUAAUCGAAAUUUAAGUGAAAAUGGUAGCUGUCAAAUGAAACACGUUUCUCUGAUUUAUCAUGUAGCUACACAAAAGCAGACUGUUUCUGUCCGAGUUACCUGCUCAUUGUUAUUGUAUAUAUAUUAGAUAAAAAUUCUACAGCUCAUUGUUUAGGUAUACUUCGAUUUUAUCAGUCGCAUUAAGCUUUUAUAGCGAGUGGGAUGGACCGUAUUUGAGUUACUGGACUCGCUACUCGAAUGGGCGUAUUUGGACUCGCCACAUUUUGCGAUGGGUCCACUCCUUGCUUCUUAAAGUUACGCGUUCAUAGAGGAAAUGGGAAUGUCCGUGAAGAAAUUCUGAAGAUGCCGAGAUUUUCAUGAUUUUUAACACUGGAAAUGUAAGUUUAGAAUUCUCGGAACUUUCCAAAAAUACCUAUUUCCUGAGUGACGAGUUGUACGUCUACUGACUAAAUCUCCUUAAUCCAUAUUUAAUUGUUCAGUGAUUCCUUACGGAUAUGAGAUAUCAAUAGAACAUAUGUCGCCUGUGCUGAAAGUACAGCGGACUGCAUUGUAAAUCUUCUUCCUAGUUGCUUUGUUUUUCCACACGAAUCUUAUUCAUCAUGAUCACAUGUACGCGUGCAAAUAAACGUAGUGGAAAUCAUGUGAGAUAUAUGCAAUAAUGUAAAGUUAUUUCGACAAGACAUUGUAAAUGCAUGCACUGAAAAAGCCAAAUUGACUUACGAGAAAACUGAAGAUUGUAAAAUAAAUUAGAAAUACUUCCUUGGAAUGGAUAAAUCUAAAGCUACUCAGCCAAGUGCGACCCACCCAGCCCCCUCGGCUCCACCAAUGACACAGGCAGCCAAUGUUCCCCAGGCAGGGCUGCAGCCUGCUUCGGCGCCACAACCUAUGGCAGCGCCACCGGCGUAUUACGCACCACAGUCUUAUGCACCUCCAAUUCCACAACCAGUUCAAACAGUUGUGGUACCCCCGACGGCAGUGUAUGUUGAGGGACAUCAUGGAUUCGGACAUCAUGAUUAUGGACAUCUAGCAUUUGGUCAUCACAACUCUGGUCACCAUGGUUUUGGCCAUCAUGGGUUUGGUCACCACGGAUUUGGUCAUCAUGGGUUUGGACACCACGGUCAUCAUUGAAAUUAUACGUCAUUACAGCUGUGAUAAAGUUAACGUCUAUUUUUUACUUUCACUUUCUGAACUACAGCUACAAUGCUUUCGCCUUCAAUAUGUUUACCAAUGCAGGGGCGGAUCCAGGAAUAGUUAGAGGGAGCAUUACUUUAUGAGGCAGGGGGUCUGGAGGGCCGCCUUGAGGCCCCCCCCCCGUGGGUCCAGGGAAAAGCCCUGGUGGGUGCCCAGGGGGCAAACCCCAAAAGCUCCAGGAUUUUACAGAUUUUAUAAGCUUGAAAUGUGUCUCUUAUAUAGACAUUUUUACUAUUUUCUGUCAUUUUUGAUAAGGUGAAAUUAAUUGCAUGACGCAAAUUUUAAGGGAUUUUGGAAAAAUGCAAAUUCUCCUAAUAAAAGUAUUUCAAUAAAUCAAAAGAUUUUGUCAUUUAUUUCUCCGAGAGGGGAAAAAAUCAUUGCUUCUUUUAUCAUUUACAUUUUUCUAAGCAAGAGACCACGAUUUAAGUUAAAUUAUAACAUUCAAGGAGGGGGGGGGGGGGGGGGGGGGGGGGCAGCGACGCCCUCCCCUUAAACCCGCCACAGUUAAAUGUGUAUAUUGUCAUUUCCUUAUGAUUACGAUGCAGUUGUGAACAAUGUGCGUAUGAAUCUUACUAAAUAUAGCACGUCUAUUUCAACGACCGGAAAUUCCGAUAGAAUUAAUGACAGUAGAAUGUAAAAAAUCAAAAUUCAGUUUUUGAUAAUACAUGGAAGUAUGAACUGCAGCACCUCUGACGUAAAGCGUAAAAUAGUUCAUGCCCUCCUGUAUUUUCAGUUAUUAAAUUCAUUUCUUGUUCUAAAACUUUGUGAAAAUGUCGAAAGGAAACCAAACAGUAAUUUUCACCACUUUGUACGUCGUCUGAAUGCAAUUUAAAAUUAUAUAAAGGACCCCCCCCCCCCAGUUCAAAUUCCUGUGUAAUUUUCAACAAUGAGUGAAAAACGGUGAUGUGAAAUAAAUUGUUAUCACAUUGAUUCAAUUUUCAAAUUUGUCUUUCUUUAACAUUUGUAGAUAUAUUCAUCACCAAGAAUGAAAUCAAUGUUAAAGGGGCAUGGACACAAUUUGAGCUGAAAAUUUUCAUUUUUUUUCUUUCCAUUUUUAGCUAUUUCUAAUGGUCAGCAAAACUUUGAAUGUCAGUAGUCGAGGUAUAUGGGAGAUACAGAGUUCACAAUUCUUAUGUAAACAAGGUUCAUGCCGUGUUUUUGUUUACAUAGAAUAAAUAUACUAGUCAAAGUUCGUUUAAAUCGAAUUUUUCAAUUGACAAGUUAAUUCUGAACACAAUUAAAUAGUUUCUAGUGUUUAUCACAAAUCAUUUCGUUUUAAACAUGCUAUUUUCUAAUUUAUAAGCAAUCUCUAUAUAAACAAUAUUAAAGAAUUUUGAGUGUUACAUCUCACUUGUAGCUCAAAAACUGACAUUCAAAUUUUGAUAGACCAUUAAAAAUACUUUAUUUAGGAAUUGUAACCAAUAAAAUUGAAAAAAUUAAAAUUUCAGCUCAACCAUGUCCAUGCCCCUUUAAAAAGAAAAUUGAUUCGCAUUAUAUUUGUUCGCAAUCUACAUAAAAUUAGAUGUUAGAUCCGCUCGCGUACUCGCAGUUAUGUAUGCGAGUACGCGAGCGGAUCUAACAUCUAGAUCUAAUUUUAGUUGGAUUGAUUUGUUCGAAGCUUGGCAUGCUCUUUCAUGAAAUGUAUCAAUAGAAAGAUUUCAGACAUUAACUUAAUUAUAAAAUUGAGAGAAAAUCGUUCUAUUUCUUGGAAAAUUGGGUUUUGUUUAAUUAUAUUAUUCUUUUUUUAAUUAUUAUUUUGAAAGAACACUAAAAAUUCAUGAAAAGAUGGGAAGCAUGUACAACAUGGCCUGUGCCAUAGUUAAAAUACUUAGGAACCAUAACCCAAUCUGGUUUCAUCCACUUCAAUCGAUGAACAAAUGACCAAUUAGUAAUCCCUGGGUUUUUCCUAUUUCCAUUGUGGAGGAAAAAUAGGUAGGUCUACGCAGUGGUUUUCACGAAUCCAGUAAUCAAUACAGACGCACAUUCUGAUGACGAUAUGCACAUCUACGCACAGACCACAUGACCGAUGUUUACACGAGUGAACUUCAGCCAGCAGUGGAAAUAACACAGUUCUUCAGAAAAUAAGAUUUUGGUUAUUUUGAUUGGAUAAAUUUUGCCACUUGUUAAUGGGAAUGGAUUACUCAAAGCAGACAGCGUCACCUUCCACGGUUCACCCACCACCACCGAACCAAGCCUACCCCCAACAGAUGCCCCACCCAAGCGCUCCACCGCCAUACGGAACACCGGCGCCCGCACCACCUCAGCCGUACAAUACUGCAUACACACCUACCCAGGCAUAUUAUGCACCUAAUCCGUAUCAAGCACCGGCCCAGCCAUAUGGACCUUAUGGACCACCACCACCAGCACCGGUGCAACCAGUGGUGGCACCACCAGCAGUGGUGUAUGUAGAUGGGCAUGGGCAUCAUGGAUUUGGUCACCAUGGAGGUGUUGGUCAUUUGUUUGGUGGUCAUCAUGGCCAUCAUGGUGAUCAUGGGUUUGGUCACCAUGGGUUUGGUCAUCAUGGCUUUGGCCAUCAUGGGGGUCAUCAUGGGGGACAUCAUGGGCAUCAUUGAACAGAUCUUUCAUUGUACAAAAGUUUAUAUCCUAUUUUGUGCAAUAUUUAUUGCUGAUAGUCAGCAUUGAUAGAUUUGUGUUGUUGUAUAUUUACUGUUAUAUAUAUAUAUAUAUAUACUUUUGUCAGUAUGUAGAAAAUCCAUUUCUUUUUUUUUUUCUUUUUUUAUAUUUUUGAUGCUGUUAUUAAAAAUAGCCAUGGUAAUCAGUUAUGUAUAUUUAUGUUUUCAUUUUUCAUGUAUGAAAUUUCAAAUACACUUAAUAACAAAAAAGGCGAGGGAAAUGUAUCUAAUUAAUGAGAUUGAAAUCGAGAAUCUGCAGAUUUUUUCUAUACUGUGAAGGCAAUACAUGUACAAAAAAAGUAAAUUAUAUUAUUUUUCACUAAUCAUAGCGUAUUGACUCUAAUUUACUGUAAGUUAACAAAUAAAAUCAAGAAUAGCCAACCCUGCUAAGAUGAUUAGUGAUCAAUACUAUAAUUUCACGGUGAAACAAUCAGGACAAAUUGCAUUCUAAGAAGGAACUGUGAAGCUGAGAAUAUUUUUUUUUCUUUCAUGUGUUAUCAUUUCUGUUCACAAUCUUCAAUAUAAUUAGUCCCCAACAGAAACAGAAACGCGGGUAAAAGUUGAGGUUGUUGAAGAUGCUAAGUACAAGCGGAAAUACCGAUCUUUAUAUAUAGUCUGGAUAACGCCGACGUUUUUGUAUGUACGCUGACUUCCUCACAUUUACAAACGUCGGGAUGAACCAGACUAAUCUCAAUGUAAUACUGGAGGUGAGGUUCCUAACGCAGCAGUACGACUCGAGGCUGUGGAUAUGAAUGAAGUGCUAUUUAAAAUGCGAUGAAGACAUAUUCGUUUGUAGAUGAUCAUUGACAUGUUUUGAAUCAAAUACAAAAAGCGAUACAGUUGAAAUUUCAAGACCGGAUAUGACCCCGGAAAUAUAUAUAAACUAAUUGAGUUCUAUUUUCCUUUAAUUUUUAAUUGUUAUUAUUUCUUUAUAAUUGUUAUAUGAUUAUCCAUAAACGGCUGAUAUGAGAUCAUUCAGGGGACAUAUUGCUAGCGCAACAAUUAAAAAAUAAUUAUUUUUUCCAUUAAUUAUUCAUUUAUUUAUUUGGUAAGAUUCAAGAGAUCCUGCGAUGAUAUUUAUUAGAUAUUUUUAACGAAGAUGUUUAACAAUGUCGUGUUUAACGGUAGGAGUCUUGAUAUGCACAUGGACCAUGAUUUACUGAAUGAAGGCGCGGCAUGUUGUAAUACGUUGUAAUAAUGGUAUCGGUUCAAAGUGCUAUGAUGGGAGUUGAGACGACUUUUUAAAAUAUAUUUUAGUGUGAUUUCGAUAUCAUCUGGAAAUUAUCCCGUUGUGUUUUUUUCUUUUGUGUAUAAUUAUUAUGUGUUUGUUUUUUGUUUGUUAUUUAAGUUGCUUUUUUUCUCUCUCUCUCUUUGAAUAAACAGACUGGACGCGGAUGCUGCCUCACCGCAGUCAGUCUGUAAAAAUUAUACCCAAUCAAAAACAAGACAGACACAACGAAACUUCAUGCAUAUCAUUGGAACCUUUGCACACUUGUACGUGGGAGAGCUCCCGCUUUGAUCUUCUAAAUUGCUCUUGGAAUAAUACGCCCAUAAAUAAUAUAUGUGGAAAGUGAUGUAAGAUGUAAAAUAUUCUUUCAUUUAAUUUUUUUUUUGUAUCUUGUGAUAUGUUGUGAUAAGCACUUUAUGUUUGUGUCUCCAUUGAGAACAAUAAGUAGUAGUACUCUCCAAUAUUUCUAGCUCAUACACUUGUGUAUCGUUGCAAAAGAAGGCAGAUAUUCGAUAGGAUAACUUUAUAUACAUCAGGGACAUCUCCAGGCGUUCUCUUGUACUCACAAAACGUCCACAUCGAUUUGAAUUAAAAUUGAAAAAAACUAGAUAUAAAUAGGGAUUUAUCAUUGAGUUUGAUGACGACAUGACAUAUUUUUGUUUUGGGGAAAGAACGGGAUUUGUCCUUUCUUUUCUGAUUGUACAUGUUCUAAAAAAUAUCAAGGAAAUUAAACAAAACUACAUGAA